rnacentral:rRNA from 1 species
GCGGCGGACGGGUGAGUAACACGUAAAGAACCUGCCCAUAGGUCUGGGAUAACCACGAGAAAUCGGGGCUAAUACCGGAUGUGUCAUCGGACCGCAUGGUCCGCUGAUGAAAGGCGCUUCGGCGUCGCCCAUGGAUGGCUUUGCGGUGCAUUAGCUAGUUGGUGGGGUAAUGGCCCACCAAGGCGACGAUGCAUAGCCGACCUGAGAGGGUGAUCGGCCACACUGGGACUGAGACACGGCCCAGACUCCUACGGGAGGCAGCAGUAGGGAAUCUUCCACAAUGGACGAAAGUCUGAUGGAGCAACGCCGCGUGAACGAUGAAGGCUUUCGGGUCGUAAAGUUCUGUUGUAAGGGAAGAACAAGUGCCGCAGGCAAUGGCGGCACCUUGACGGUACCUUGCGAGAAAGCCACGGCUAACUACGUGCCAGCAGCCGCGGUAAUACGUAGGUGGCAAGCGUUGUCCGGAAUUAUUGGGCGUAAAGCGCGCGCAGGCGGCCUCUUAAGUCUGAUGUGAAAGCCCCCGGCUCAACCGGGGAGGGCCAUUGGAAACUGGGAGGCUUGAGUAUAGGAGAGAAGAGUGGAAUUCCACGUGUAGCGGUGAAAUGCGUAGAGAUGUGGAGGAACACCAGUGGCGAAGGCGACUCUUUGGCCUAUAACUGACGCUGAGGCGCGAAA